CCAAAUGCUCUUCUCAGUUGUGUGGUAACAUCACAGAAUAUGUCUUUCUCUUUAGAAAGACUUCAGCCCCAGUGAGGGCCCAAGAGAGCUUCAGGACCAAUUUGCAUCUCUCUGGCAGGAACUACGUAUGAAUUCAAGACAGAAAAGGAGUAUUUACAUAGUGUAUACUGUAUUUCUGUUGUAGCUUUCCAGAGAGCUCCCCAGCAAGAACUGGGAAGAGGUGUGAGGGGUAAGAAAGCACCAAGCAGCCUCCCCUACUGAAAGCUAAUUGCGGUGGUGCUGACUGAAAGGUGGUGGAAGUUGUCGAAAGCCCUAGAGAGCAACCAGCAGGCUUAGGGCAGAGGCUGACCCCAAGACCUUGAGUCACUGAGUGGCUUUGAGCAAAUUGCAUAACCUGUUUUGGCCCUAAUUUCCUUAUAUAAAAAUGAGAUUGCGUGCCAGCAACUGUUGUGGACUCUUUCAGCUUGGAAGUGCUGUCUUCGUGGAUAAAUAAGGCAUUUUUAAGGCCGGUCUAAAUUUAUAAGUGAAUCUGUGAAGGCCCUAAAAAUAAUACUUACAUAUUUCACAUAGGGCUACUGUAGUCACUUAUAAUGAGAAAGAAUUUCACCUCCUGCAUUGGACCCGGUGGAUUAGAGUUGCUGCAUGUAAAGCAGCUAUGAUGUGAAAAUAUUCCAUAGAUGGUAGUCAUUGUUAUUGCAAUUUUUUUUGUUUUGUUUUUUUGUUUUUUGUUUUGCUCUUGUCACCCAGGCUGUAAUGCAAUGGCGAAAUCUCGGCUCACUGCAACCUCCACCUCCCAGGUUCAAGCGAUUCCCCUGCCUCAGCAUCCAGAGAGCUGGGAUCUAGACAGGCACCUGCCACCUCACCCAGCUAAUUUUUGUACUUUUAGUAGAGACUAAAAAUACAAAAUUUUUAGUUUCAAUGUGUUGGCCAGCCUGGUCUCAAACUGCUGACCUCACAUGAUCCACCCACAUCUGCCUCCCAAAGUGCUGAGAUUACAGGCAUGAGCCACCGCACCCAGCCUACUUACUAUUUGAAAAUAAAGCUAUUUUCAUAUUUAUAUUCAAGUGCCAUAAAUGAUUUAUAAUGAUGAUUUUUUUUUUUUUGAGGUGGAGUUUUGCUCCUUACCCAGGCUGGAGUGCAAUGGCGCGAUCUCGGCUCACCACAACUUCCGCCUCCUGGGUUCCAGCAAUUCUCCUGCCUCAGCCUCCUGAGUACCUGGGAUUACAGGCACAUGCCACCAUGCCUAAUUUUUUUUGUAUUUUUAGUAGAGACGGGGUUUCACCAUGUUGACCAGGAUGGUCUCUAUCUCUUGACCUCGUGAUCCACCUGCCUUGGCCUCCCAAAGUGCUGGGAUUACAGGUGUGAGCCACCACGCCCAGCCUAUAAUGAUGAUUAAAUGACUCAUCAGAGAUGACAAUGAUCAUGAAAUGAGCAUAACAAAAAUGAAG
rnacentral:lncRNA from 1 species